AAUAUGCUGAUUUUCAAUAUAUAAUAUAAGUUCUCGAGCAUCCAGUUUUUCAUAUGAAGGCUUAUCUUCAGAAUUUUCUUGAACUAUGGACGCAAAAGAAUCUGCAGUUUUUUGUUGAUCUGAUAAAUAAGAUUGCAGUUGUUUGUAUAAUGGAUGAUUUUCAGGAAUGUCUUCUAAAUGGACAGAAGAACCAAUAUUUAGAGUUUUGGAUGAUGAAGAUUCAUCUUGAGGAAUUUUUGAAUUAAUUAAAGUUCUAUUUCCUUGCUGCAAUAUAGGGAAAUUUGAACUCGCAGAGCUAUAUGCAGAAUUUCUUCGAUCAAAAUAUGAAGGGUUUGUGCGUCCUCCUUGAUAUGAAGAGUUUUGAUUUCUUC
rnacentral:lncRNA from 1 species